rnacentral:rRNA from 1 species
UACGUAGGGGGCAAGCGUUAUCCGGAUUCACUGGGUUUAAAGGGUGCGUAGGCGGGCAGGUAAGUCCGUGGUGAAAUCUCUGAGCUUAACUCAGAAACUGCCAUGGAUACUAUUUGUCUUGAAUAUUGUGGAGGUAAGCGGAAUAUGUCAUGUAGCGGUGAAAUGCUUAGAUAUGACAUAGAACACCAAUUGCGAAGGCAGCUUACUACACAGUUAUUGACGCUGAGGCACGAAAGCGUGGGGAUCAAACAGG